rnacentral:rRNA from 1 species
GUUUCAGGACCGCCGUAUGAUUAAUAGGGACAGUCGGGGGCAUCAGUAUUCAAUUGUCAGAGGUGAAAUUCUUGGAUUUAUUGAAGACUAACUACUGCGAAAGCAUUUGCCAAGGAUGUUUUCAUUAAUCAGGAACGAAAGUUAGGGGAUCGAAGACGAUCAGAUACCGUCGUAGUCUUAACCAUAAACUAUGCCGACUAGGGAUCGGACGGUGUUAUUUUUUGACCCGUUCGGCACCUUACGAGAAAUCAAAGUGCUUGGGUCCAGGGGGAGUAUGGUCGCAAGGCUGAAACUUAAAGAAAUUGACGGAAGGGCACCACCAGGGGUGGAGCCUGCGGCUUAAUUUGACUCAACACGGGGAAACUCACCAGGUCCAGACACAAUGAGGAUUGACAGAUUGAGAGCUCUUUCUUGAUUUUGUGGGUGGUGGUGCAUGGCCGUUCUUAGUUGGUGGAGUGAUUUGUCUGCUUAAUUGCGAUAACGAACGAGACCUUAACCUGCUAAAUAGCCCGUAUUGCUUUGGCAGUACGCU